rnacentral:lncRNA from 1 species
CUGUUUGGCAACUGUAAUAUAUUUUAUGAAUUUUUUUUUUUUAAUUGGGGGUGUUUGGCUUCAAGUUGUCCUUCCCAAUUAAUAGUAUAGAAUUAUAGAUACAAAAAAAAAUCUACAAAUAUAUUUUAAAAAUAAUGAUAAUAUAGAGAAGAUGGGGGAAACGGAGAAAAUCAACCCAAACUAUUUCUCGAAGGCAUUUUCAUACCCA